AUUUCAGCUAUGUAUUGAUAUCCAUAUCCAUGUUACAUCAUAAUUACUUGAACAUAAUGUAUACAUAUAUAUAACAAUAAUAAAUGAAUAAAAUAUUUACAAAUGUUGAUCCAAUAAACAAUAAAGCAAUCAAAAAUAUCUACCUGCUAUGGUACAGUCAUGUCUUUGUAGAUAACAACAAAAUUAAGAUUUCUAGAUAAUAACUGUGUAUCACUAUCAUAUUCCUAAUGAAGACACGUAUAAAAGUAUUUUCAUUCUCAAUACCUGAUAUUACUUAAGUACUAAUACAUGUAUUGCUUGUAUAUCCCAACGUAUUAUAUUUCCAUGAAUCAUAUGGUUUCUAGCAACCUUAAAAUCUUUAGGUCAUUUGUAUUCAUGAAUUACAUUCCUAUACCAUUAAUACCAUCUAGUGAUAAUUGUAUCAGUACUUUACAAUCAUAGUAUUUAAUUUGUAUAUUCAGUAGGCUCUCACUAACUGAAAUAUAUUAACACUACUUAUAAGUCUCAUAGUUUGCAAACCUUCAAAGGUUGUGUUGUUGUCAACCAUGAAGUUUUAUAAUAAUUCUUCAAAUAAUGUUCAUUGUGUUGACAAUACUUAUUGUUCUAGAAAUUCUCCACGCAGAAAUCUUUCUAUCAUAGAUUUGUUUUUGUUUACAUAAUUAUAAUUUUGACUAAAAUUCCACCUUGUAGUAACAAACUUUUCAUUCAAUAGAAACAUGGUUUACUUUAAAAUAACUUGGAAAUAAUAAUUUAAAUUCAUUGUGAUGACUUAUUAAUGUAAUACAUCUCAACAUAAAAGUAGGACUGCCCUAAUGUUACCUUAACAUUUGUUCUGACCAAUCCGUAUUCCUUAGUACACUUCAACUGACUAAAUUAAAAUAAAAUAAACAAAACUUGGGGUCAUACUGCCCAGAAACUUUUAUUCCUAGUCUGUGUCUAACAAACUCAGGGAAAUCAUAAAACCACUUUUAACAACUUAUUCAAUUCAUUGGAUACUUUCAUAUCCAGAAACCUAUUCUCCCUAGUCUAUACUUUUAUAGACUUAGGUCAAAUAUAAUUGUGUACUAAACUCAAUUCAAUUCCUCUUGGAUCUCUGAACUCUUAUAUCCAAGGCAUUCUUAAUGUAUACCAUUACUUAAUAUUAAUCAAUAUAAAUUAUCCUUCCUUAGUUUUCUUCCUUUUGUUACCAUUGUUUGUUUUACUUCACCUCGAUAUCAACAAAUUACUCAUUCUUAUGAAUCUAUGAAAUACUAUUGCACUCAUUCUUUGUAGUAUUAACUAACCAUGAUCCUUAUUUUAUCAACUUCAUAUUUUAUCUGCCUCUGAUACUUCUCAUCCUAUGUAUAGGUCAUAAUGUAAUAGUUCUUUUCAUAAUACUAUCCUAUCAUAAUUUUCUAAGUACUCUCUUUUGGUAUUAAUACUCAUAACUGUUAUAUAACUUUUCAUUGUCUGUUUUCUUUUCUGUUAAUAUUUAGGAAUAUAUAUUAGUGUCAAUAUUUUAUUUCUUUGUAAGUUUGUUAAUCUUCUGUAUCAAAUGAUCUCUGUAGAAUCUUCCAUCACAGUUUGCAGAUCAGUUGAAAAGUCUCUUUCCAACAGUCGAUGUCCAGUUGUCUAAAGGAAUUCUUUCCUAAUUUACUGCCACAUAGAUCUGUCACGCUUUACCUACAUUAAAACAAAAAAACGUGCAGCAUCAAUACAAUGGCUUACAAUGUUUAUAUCACUAUUAUUAUACAGUUUAACAUUUAAAUAUAUUGACUACACAAAACAUACUCAUUUCUUCUCAUGUGAUCUACCAUCUAGUGGUCAUUACAUUUAUGCCAUUUGAUAUAUAAUCUUUACAUUUCCUUUUGUAUUAAAAUCUUUCUGAACAUUUAAAUUUGCCAAACUUUUUAUUAAUCAUACCCCCCUUUAAAACUGUUUAAUAAUCUGGAGGUAUAACCUAAUCACAUAUAAGAUGUUACAACAAAAUAUUGUUUUCCACUAUACUUUAGCAAUAGCAGCCAUCUUGUCUGAACACUGGCACCAUUUUGUCACAUGAAACAAACUAUAAGAAACAUAUAUUGUUUCCUACAUCAAAUGUAUUUGUAAAUCUAGGUUUUAUUAUAUCAAAACUUUUGUCUUCUAUAUAGUCAAAACAUAUGUAUG